UAGGGAAUAUUGGACAAUGGGGGCAACCCUGAUCCAGCAAUGCCGCGUGAGUGAUGAAGGCCUUAGGGUUGUAAAGCUCUUUCGCACGCGACGAUGAUGACGGUAGCGUGAGAAGAAGCCCCGGCUAACUUCGUGCCAGCAGCCGCGGUAAUACGAAGGGGGCGAGCGUUGUUCGGAAUUACUGGGCGUAAAGGGCGCGCAGGCGGCCGAUCAAGUCAGGCGUGAAAGCCCCGGGCUUAACCUGGGAAUUGCGCUUGGGACUGAUGGGCUUGAGUUCGGGAGAGGAGAGUGGAAUUCCCAGUGUAGAGGUGAAAUUCGUAGAUAUUGGGAAGAACACCGGUGGCGAAGGCGGCUCUCUGGACCGAUACUGACGCUGAGGCGCGAAAGCGUGGGGAGCAAAC
rnacentral:rRNA from 1 species